UACGGAGGGUGCAAGCGUUAUCCGGAUUCACUGGGUUUAAAGGGUGCGUAGGUGGGCAAGUAAGUCAGUGGUGAAAUCUCCGGGCUUAACUCGGAAACUGCCAUUGAUACUAUUUGUCUUGAAUACUGUGGAGGUCAGCGGAAUAUGUCAUGUAGCGGUGAAAUGCUUAGAUAUGACAUAGAACACCAAUUGCGAAGGCAGCUGGCUACACAAAUAUUGACACUGAUGCACGAAAGCGUGGGGAUCAAACAGG
rnacentral:rRNA from 1 species